AGCGAACGCUGGCGGCAGGCCUAACACAUGCAAGUCGAGCGGGCAUAGCAAUAUGUCAGCGGCAGACGGGUGAGUAACGCGUGGGAACGUACCUUUUGGUUCGGAACAACACAGGGAAACUUGUGCUAAUACCGGAUAAGCCCUUACGGGGAAAGAUUUAUCGCCGAAAGAUCGGCCCGCGUCUGAUUAGCUAGUUGGGGGGGUAAAGGCCCACCAAGGCGACGAUCAGUAGCUGGUCUGAGAGGAUGAUCAGCCACAUUGGGACUGAGACACGGCCCAAACUCCUACGGGAGGCAGCAGUGGGGAAUAUUGGACAAUGGGGGCAACCCUGAUCCAGCCAUGCCGCGUGAGUGAUGAAGGCCCUAGGGUUGUAAAGCUCUUUUGUGCGGGAAGAUAAUGACGGUACCGCAAGAAUAAGCCCCGGCUAACUUCGUGCCAGCCGCCGCCGUAA
rnacentral:rRNA from 1 species